CAGGGCUGGUUAUCAGGGUGCUGUGACUCAGGGCUGGGGGGGAGCCCAGGGCUGGUUAUCAGGGUGCUGUGACUCAGGGCUGGGGGGGAGCCCAGGGCUGGUUAUCAGGGUGCUGUGACUCAGGGCUGGGGGGGGAGCCCAGGGCUGGUUAUCGGGGUGCUGUGAUUCAGAGCUGAGGGGUGCUGGCAGAGCCUGAGGGGAGAGGGAAGCCCAGGGCUGGCUAUCAGGGUGCUGUGACACGGGGAGGGAGCCUAGGCCUGGUUAUCAGGGUGCUGUGACUCAGGGCUGGGGGGGGGAGCCCAGGGCUGGUUAUCGGGGUGCUGUGACUCAGGGCUGGAGGGGGGAGCCCAGGGCUGGUUAUCGGGGUGCUGUGACUCAGGGCUGGAGGGGGGAGCCCAGGGCUGGUUAUCGGGGUGCUGUGACUCAGGGUUGGGGAGAGGAGCCCAGGGCUGGUUAUCGGGGUGCUGCGACUCAGGGCUGAGGAGGGGGAGCCCAGGGCUGGUUAUUGGGGUGCUGCGACUCAGGGCUGAGGAGGGGGAGCCCAGGGCUGGUUAUCGGGGUGCUGCGACUCAGGGCUGAGGAGGGGGAGCCCAGGGCUGGUUAUCGGGGUGCUGCGACUCAGGGCUGAGGAGGGGGAGCCCAGGGCUGGUUAUCGGGGUGCUGUGACUUAGGGCUGAGGGGUGCUGGCCGAGUGCCGGUUUGAGGGUCAGUUGGACGCGUCUCUCCAGAGAGAGGCCGUGAGCCGGCGCAGGGCAUUGUUCUGGGCUCUGAUCCUGACAGAUGGCUCCGAAGGGGCUGUCGUCCUGGCUGGGCCCUGGGCCCUCCCUCUGCUCUCACCCGGCACUGGCAGGAAAUGUCUCCUUAAUG